GUGCAAGUGGCUCAGUGGGUUAGAGUGAUGGCUCCCGCCCACACGUCCGGGGUUCGACCCCCGGUGCGGGCG